UUAAUACUUUAUAACAGAUUGAAUGGCAUCAUUUAAUUUUGAAAGAUUUCUCGCAGUAGGAUAGGCAUGCGUAAGAUUAGUUAAUUGGAGAGGUAACGGCUCACCAAGACGAUGAUCUUUAGGGGGCCUGAGAGGGUGAACCCCCACACUGGUACUGAGACACGGACCAGACUCCACGGGAGGCAGCAGUGAGGAAUAUUGGACAAUGGGUGGAAGCCUGAUCCAGCCAUCCCGCGUGUAGGACGACUGCCUUAUGGGUUGUAAACUACUUUUAUCUGGGGAUAAACCUACUCACGUGUGAGUAGCUGAAGGUACCAGAAGAAUAAGCACCGGCUAACUCCGUGCCAGCAGCCCCGGUAAUACGGAGGGUGCAAGCGUUAUCCGGAUUUAUUGGGUUUAAAGGGUCCGUAGGCGUAUUAAUCAGUCAGUGGUGAAAUCCCGCA
rnacentral:rRNA from 1 species